rnacentral:rRNA from 1 species
GACGAACGCUGGCGGCGUGCUUAACACAUGCAAGUCGAACGGAAAGGCCUUUUCGGAGGUACUCGAGUGGCGAACGGGUGAGUAACACGUGGGUGAUCUGCCCUGCACUCUGGGAUAAGCCUGGGAAACUGGGUCUAAUACCGGAUAGGACCGCACUUUAGUGUGUGUGGUGGAAAGUUUUUUCGGUGUAGGAUGAGCCCGCGGCCUAUCAGCUUGUUGGUGGGGUAAUGGCCUACCAAGGUGGCGACGGGUAGCCGGACUGAGAGGUUGGUCGGCCACAUUGGGACUGAGAUACGGCCCAGACUCCUACGGGAGGCAGCAGUGGGGAAUAUUGCACAAUGGGCGCAAGCCUGAUGCAGCGACGCCGCGUGGGGGAUGACGGCCUUCGGGUUGGAAACUCCUUUCGCCAGGGACGAAGCGUUUUGUGACGGUACCUGGAGAAGAAGCACCGGCUAACUACGUG